UGGCAAGAUGUCGGAAUAGCUGA
rnacentral:miRNA from 10 species